AGCAGCCGCGGUAAUUCCAGCUCCAAUAGCGUAUAUUAAAGUUGUUGCAGUUAAAAAAGCUCGUAGUUGAAUUUCGGGAUCAAUUAGUCGGUCGUGCCUCUGGUACGUACUGGUUUUAUUAGUUCCUCCCUUCUGACGAAAACAUGAUGUCAUUAAUUUGGUGUCGUGGAGAAUCGGGACUGUUACCUUGAAAAAUUGAGUGUUUAUAGCAGGCUAACGCUUGAAUACAUUAGCAUGGAAUAAUGAAAUAGGACGUUCGACCCUAUUUUGUUGGUUUCUAGGAUCGACGUAAUGAUUAAUAGGGAUAGUUGGGGGCAUUAGUAUUCAAUUGUCAGAGGUGAAAUUCUUGGAUUUAUUGAAGACUAACUA
rnacentral:misc_RNA from 1 species